UCCGACUGUUUUAACAAAAACAUAACCUUUAGCCAAACAAGUAUUAAAGGCAACGCCUGCCCAGUGAACAAUUAAACGGCCGCGGUACCCUAACCGUGCAAAGGUAGCGUAAUCACUUGUCUAUUAAUUGUAGACCCGUAUGAAAGGCAAAAUGAGGGCCUAACUGUCUCUUAUAAUAAAUCAAUUAAACUGAUCUCCCAGUACAAAAGCUGGAAUACCAACAUAAGACCAGAAGACCCUGUGAAGCUUAAACUAAACUAUUAAAACACAUAAUAACUACUUUCGGUUGGGGCGACCUUGGAAAAAAAAAGAACUUCCAAAGGCCAACAAGCCAAACAAUAGACCCAGCAAAGCUGAUAAUUGAACCAAGUUACUCCAGGGAUAACAGCGCUAUCUUCCUCAAGAGCCCAUAUCAAAAGGAAGGUUUACGACCUCGAUGUUGGAUCAGGACAUCCUAAUGGUGCAGCCGCUAUUAAGGGUUCGUUUGUUCAACGAUUAACAGUCCYACGUGAUCUGAGUUCAGACCGGAG
rnacentral:rRNA from 1 species